CAAGACUCCCCGGGCCCCUCCUCCCCCUCAGCUCCGACCGUGGGUGUCGGGGUGGCGGAAGCCUGAGCGGGGAGGCACAGCUGCCCAACACCAGAGCAAGACGGCCAAGAGCCAUGUGUGAACGUCAACAAUCUUCCGAGCCGGAAGGGCCCCCAGGGCUGGCGUUGGGGGAGGGGGGGAGGGGUACAGGGCGAGGCGGAGUGGGGGCAGGGUUGUGCCGGUGUGACCGGGGGCUCCCCCUGAACGCUCUGAGCCGUGUCCCAGGUCUGGCACGUGGCCAGCAGAGUGGACGCCGCCGGGAUGGCCGCUCACUCUGUCUGCCUGGCUCUGAGCGCUUGGCAAGCCUGACCCCCCCAGAGAGGCCCCACCCUGCGAGGCCACACGGACCCAUCCCCCAACAGCGGGAGGGAGGCUCUGAGACAUGAGACAACACGCCCUGAUGUGCAGCCGGCCCUGGGAAGAGCUGGCCCCACACGCAGCAGCGUCCCCCAGAGCCUGUGCUGGUCACCGGCAGAGGAUGUCACCCACCCCCGAGGCCGGCUGUUCUCCCGGAGUCUCUCUCCCGGCGGGGCAGGGGAUGCAGCUUCUGGAGUGGCUGUAGAGAGUGGAGCCCACCUUCUGGCCAUCCCUGGCCUCUGGGAGAAAGUGGCACCGCGAUUUCCCCUCGGGGAAGCACCCUCUCUCGCUCCCAGGUUGUGCUCUGAGGACCCCAGGCUCCGCCGGAGUCGAACCCAGAGCUGGCAGCUCAGAGCCCUGCGGGCCCCUUGCUACAAGGACGGUGUCAGGGAGGGCCCGUGAGGGCCCCAGCGCUGUGAGAGUCAGCUUCGCCUCUUGGAGGGGAAAUGGGGCAGAGCCGGGACACAGAGACAGUAGCAGGUCCUGAUGUGAUGGUCUGAGCCACCGGCUCCAGCUGGCCUCAAGUCAAGGUCAAGUCCCGGGAUUUGCGUUUAAAUGAGGCAAUCAGUGCCCUCUAUGUUUUGGUCACCUGCAUCCCAAGGUUCUGGAUGGGAGCAGUCCUUCAGGUCGUCCCCUGGUCUGCAUGUGAGAAUCAGGUGGGAAUUUUACCAACUCCUGAUGCCUGUGUCCACUCAGUCACCGUCUCUGCGUGGGGACCGGCACAGGUAUUUUAAAGCCUUCCAGGUGGCUGCCAUGUGCAGCCAGGGCUGACAGCCACUGACAGAGACACACUGUCUCCCCGGCAGCCUGUGGUCCCGGGGGUGAGGUCAUGCAUUUAAUGGCUCUUUGCCCAAGACACGAGGUUUUGGGGGGUCCCAGGGUUCAUCUGACUCCCUCCAAGGAAACUGCAGGAUCUGGAAAUAGCGCUGGCGGAAGAGACAGAGAAUCUUAAGACCCCGUCCGGAUUAAGAAGCUUCAGACGGACGGACGGCCGUUUCUUCUGCUUUUCGGUGUCGAGGCCAGUUGGGACAUUCCUGGGUUGCCACUGUUACAAUAAAGCUCUUCGGACCGUUCGGGGAGCACACUUGGUGUGAACUAGGUUCCAGGCCAAGUGUGGGGCUUGAACUCACAACUCUGCC